AAAUUGAUCAUGGUCCUGAGUUGGGAGGUUUAUGAUUUUUUCCAAAUAACACAUGGAAGGGAGAUAUUUAUAGAGAUUUUUGGGAGACGGUGACGACCAGUUUGAAUUGGACUCAGUUAAUACAUAUAGUGAAACUAAUCUGCUGAACACUCAAUCGUGAUCAUCUAUGAAGAGAGUUUGAAUUU